UACGGGAGGCAGCAGUGGGGAAUUUUGCGCAAUGGGCUAACGCCUGACGCAGCAACGCCGCGUGGAGGAUGAAGGUCUUCGGAUUGUAAACUCCUGUCAGCAGGGAAAAAGCGACCCGACCUAAUACGUCGGGGAGUUGAUUGUACCUGCAGAGGAAGCCCCGGCUAACUUUGUGCCAGCAGCCGCGGUAAUUCAGAGGGGGCAAGCGUUAUUCGGAAUUAUUGGGCGUAAAGGGCGCGUAGGCGGCUUUCCAAGUGACGGGUGAAAGCCCUCGGCUUAACCGAGGAACUGCCUGUCAGACUGUGAGGCUUGAGACCGGGAGAGGGGAGUGGAAUUCCCAGUGUAGCGGUGAAAUGCGUAGAUAUUGGGAGGAACACCAGUGGCGAAGGCGGCUCACUGGACCGGAACUGACGCUGAGGCGCGAAAGCGUGGGGAGCAAACAGGAUUAGAUACCCUGGUAGUCCACGCCGUAAACGAUGAGUGCUUGGUGUAGCGGGUAUCGACCCCUGCUGUGCCGAAGUCAACGCAUUAAGCAUCCGCCUGGAUA
rnacentral:rRNA from 1 species